CUCAUUGGGUGCGUGAGAAGGGAAGGGUGGAUCCUAAAAGAUCCCUUUUACAGUUGGAUUCUCCCUCUUGGAUCUGGCUCUGCCUUAGUCCGACCUAGAGGGAUCAGCUUCGCCCACGCCCACUCUCACCCGGAACCUUUCAUCUCUUAUUGAAGCCUUUUAGGCCCAUUGGGAUGUUCAUUAGAACUCUGAAAACUACAGUUCUCCCCUUUAUGAGGACUGCACCACAGCUCGCCCUCUCCUGGGUUCCGCCUGGUUGCAGAGUGAGCCCAUGGGACAGCCCUCUGAAAUUAUACUGCUUACAACCAUGCUGAGUCUGCAAGGACUUCGUCCAAGCCUUUCCGUCCAGGACCUCAAACAGAUCCAAUCACAAGAAGAGAGAUUUCAGGAAAGAGAAAAUUAUUCCUAUCAUCGGGGUUUUUGAAGAACAUGAAAUGACUGGGAAAAUAAUCAUGUUAAGUGGAAAAAAAAAAGAAAUCUAUCUGUUGUAAUUUUCAAAUAAUUUUUAAAUAAAUUUGAAAAAUUAAGAGAACUAUAUAUAUAAUACAUUCCUAAUCUUGUGAAAAAUAUAUAUGCAUUAAUAUUAUUGAAAGAAAUAUAUCAAAAGGUGAACAGCAAUUAUCACCAAUCUAGAUUAUGAGAUUAGGAGUGAUUUUUUUUCUUUGUCCUAUACUAUUUAAUAUUUUCUACCAUUAAAAUAUUCUGAUUUUCUAAUUAGAAUAGUACGUUAGACAAAGAAGGACAAAUAUCACAUGAACUCUCACUCUCUUAUGGAACAGAUCUUGUGGAAUCUAAAAAAGUUGAACUCAUAGAAAAAGAGGAAAAUGAUGGUUACCAGUUAGAAAAAAGGAAUAAGUUCAAGAGAUCUAUUGUACACCAUGGUCAAUAUAGUUAACAAUAUAUUUUAUACUUUAAAAUUGCUAAGGUAGUAGAUUUUAAGUGUUCUCACCACACAAAAAAAUAAGUAUGUGAAAAGCAUAUGGUAAUUAGCUUGAUUUAACCACGCCACAGUGCAUACAUAUGUCAAAACAUCAUGUUGUAUACUAUAAAUAUAUACACUUUUUGUCAAUUUUAAACAGGUUAUAAAAAAACAUGUUAUUGUUGAUAAUUAUGAAAAAUUUUAAUGAUGUGGAAAUGUGUACAGUAUAAUGAUAAAUGAAAGAGUAGUAAAAAUCCUUAUAAAAUAUAA
rnacentral:lncRNA from 1 species